rnacentral:rRNA from 1 species
CACACGACUCUCGGCAACGGAUAUCUCGGCUCUCGCAUCGAUGAAGAACGUAGCGAAAUGCGAUACCUGGUGUGAAUUGCAGAAUCCCGCGAACCAUCGAGUCUUUGAACGCAAGUUGCGCCCGAGGCCACUCGGUNGAGGGCACGCCUGCCUGGGCGUCACGC